UAAUUGGAAUGANUACAAUUUAAAUCCCUUAACGAGGAACAAUUGGAGGGCAAGNCUGGUGCCAGCAGCCGCNGUAAUUCCAGCUCCAAUAGCGUAUAUUAAAGUUGUUGCAGUUAAAAAGCNNNUAGUUGAAUUUCGGGAUUGGCGCAUCGGUCGNNCCUCACGGGGUAUGAACUGGUGCAGUCAAUUUCUCACCUUCUGGAGAACCGCGAUGUCCUUAAUUGGAUGCCGUGGGGAACCAGGACCUUNNNUUUGAAAAAAUUAGAGUGUUUAAAGCAGGCAUUUUUGCUUGAAUACAUUAGCAUGGAAUAAUAAAAUAGGACGGCAUGGUUCUAUUUUGUUGGUUUCUAGGACCACCGUAAUGAUUAAUAGGGAUAGUUGGGGGCAUUAGUAUUCAAUUGUCAGAGGUGAAAUUCUUGGAUUUAUUGAAGACUAACUACUGCGAAAGCAUUUGCCAAGGAUGUUUUCAUUAAUCAAGAACGAAAG
rnacentral:rRNA from 1 species